UACGGAGGGUGCGAGCGUUGUCCGGAAUCAUUGGGCGUAAAGGGCGCGUAGGUGGCCCGGUCAGUUCGUGGUGAAAGCGCGGGGCUCAACUCCGCGUCGGCCAUGAAUACUGCUGGGCUGGAGCACUGUAGAGGCAGGCGGAAUUCCGGGUGUAGCGGUGGAAUGCGUAGAGAUCCGGAAGAACACCGGUGGCGAAGGCGGCCUGCUGGGCAGUUGCUGACACUGAGGCGCGACAGCGUGGGGAGCAACAGG
rnacentral:rRNA from 1 species